UAUGUACUCCCUCCGUCCGGAAAUACUUGUCAUCAAAAUGGAUAAAAGGGGAUGUAUCUAGACAUAUUUUAGUUUUAGAUACAUCUGUUUUUAUCCAUUUUGAUGACAAGUAUUUUCGGAUGGAGGGAUUAGUAC
rfam:Triticum urartu cultivar G1812 contig37657, whole genome shotgun sequence.